rnacentral:lncRNA from 1 species
GGAGAAGCAGCGGAAGCCGGGCACUAGUCCUGCAGGGUGGAAGGCGCUUUAUCGGGUCUUCUGGCCCGCUGCGGGCGAUAGAGCUGGUAACCUGAGUAGAGUAAAUAGAGACACGUGGGUGCUGGCUAGAGAAAGCGCGGAGCAGGGCCGCGCUGGAGGGCUGUUUGAAGCCUAGUCCAGAGCUGGUCUAGGGGGCGGAUGGACCCUGAUACCCGACACUCCACUGGUCACCCUUGUUCCACAACUGGGAAACCCUCUGGAGGAAAUCCGGUAGAAAAGUCCUGACACCCGAAUGAUUUAACCAACGCCUUUUCCCUCCAAAGAAACUUGGAGGAUAUACCUUUUUUUCCUUAAAUGGCAUCUUUCUACCCCCAAAAAGAAAGUGUGUGGUUUUGAGGGCGGGGACAUUUUGGGUUUUAAACAGCGCGUUUAAGAACACCUCAGAUCUGCCUUCUCUAUCCCAAUGGCAGAGGUGGCCAGACAAGCACAAACCUCUCAGGAGCCCUACCACGACAAGGCCAGAGAACACCCCGAUGACGGAAAGCAUCCAGAUGGAGGCCUCUACAACAAGGGACCCUCCUACUCGAGUUAUUCCGGGUACAUAAUGAUGCCAAAUAUGAAUAACGACCCAUACAUGUCAAAUGGAUCUCUUUCUCCACCCAUCCCGAGAACAUCAAAUAAAGUGCCCGUGGUGCAGCCAUCCCAUGCGGUCCAUCCUCUCACCCCCCUCAUCACUUACAGUGACGAGCACUUUUCUCCAGGAUCACACCCGUCACACAUCCCAUCAGAUGUCAACUCCAAACAAGGCAUGUCCAGACAUCCUCCAGCUCCUGAUAUCCCUACUUUUUAUCCCUUGUCUCCGGGUGGUGUUGGACAGAUCACCCCACCUCUUGGCUGGCAAGGUCAGCCUGUAUAUCCCAUCACGGGUGGAUUCAGGCAACCCUACCCAUCCUCACUGUCAGUCGACACUUCCAUGUCCAGGUUUUCCCAUCAUAUGAUUCCCGGUCCUCCUGGUCCCCACACAACUGGCAUCCCUCAUCCAGCUAUUGUAACACCUCAGGUCAAACAGGAACAUCCCCACACUGACAGUGACCUAAUGCACGUGAAGCCUCAGCAUGAACAGAGAAAGGAGCAGGAGCCAAAAAGACCUCACAUUAAGAAGCCUCUGAAUGCUUUUAUGUUAUACAUGAAAGAAAUGAGAGCGAAUGUCGUUGCUGAGUGUACUCU